rnacentral:rRNA from 1 species
GCCAAACAGCUAGCUUAUCACCAAACUAAUUUAAUAACAUAAAUAACACAACAUGAAAACAAAUAAUAAAAUAAACCAUUCUUCCACCUUAGUACGGGCGACGGAAAAGGUAACCUUAAGCGAUAGAGAAAGUACCGCAAGGGAAAGCUGAAAGAGUAAUGAAACAAUCCAUAAAAGCACAAAAAAGCAGAGCCUAGGCCUCGUACCUUUUGCAUCAUGAUUUAGCCAGUAUAACACAAGCAAAGCGACCUUUAGUUUGAAACCCCGAAACCAAGUGAGCUACCCCAGGACAGCCUUAAUGGGCCAACCCGUCUCUGUGGCAAAAGAGUGGGAAGAGCCUCGGGUAGAGGUGAUAGACCUACCGAACUUGGUGAUAGCUGGUUGCCUGAGAAAUGAAUAGAAGUUCAGCCUCGUACCCCCUUUAAUCAAUUAAGAAAUAUCUAAACAAGUAAUAAGAGAAAUACGAGAGUUAGUUUAAGGGGGUACAGCCCCUUAAACAAAGGACACAACCUUAAGCAGAAGGAUAAGGAUCAUACUUUCUAAAACCCGUCGUCUCAGUGGGCCUAAAAGCAGCCAUCUGAACAGAAAGCGUUAAAGCUCAAACGACAUAAAAUUUAUUAUUCUGAUAAAUAACCCAAAUCCUCUAACAAUAUCAGGCCAUUUCAUAAAAUAUGAAAGAGACUAUGCUAAAAUGAGUAACAAGAGAAUUCUCUCCACGCACAAGUGUAAACCAGAUCGGACCAACCACUGGAAAUUAACGAACCCAAAAAAAGAGGGUAGUGUUAAAAGCAAAAAACCCAAGAAAAACCAACAACACCUGACUCGUUAAACCCACACUGGAGUGCCACAACGGAAAGACUAAAAGAAAGGGAAGGAACUCGGCAAACACAAGCCUCGCCUGUUUACCAAAAACAUCGCCUCCUGCAAACCCCUAAGUAUAGGAGGUCCAGCCUGCCCAGUGACCACAAGUUCAACGGCCGCGGUAUUUUGACCGUGCAAAGGUAGCGCAAUCACUUGUCUUUUAAAUGAAGACCUGUAUGAAUGGCCAAACGAGGGCUUAACUGUCUCCCCUUUUAAGUCAGUGAAAUUGAUCUACCCGUGCAGAAGCGGGUAUAAAAAUACAAGACGAGAAGACCCUUUGGAGCUUAAGGUACAAACCCAUCUACGUCAAACAACCUGCUUAAAAGAAUUAAACCUAGUAGAAAAUGGAGUUUUACCUUCGGUUGGGGCGACCAUGGAGAACAAAAAAUCCUCCAAGUGGACCGGGGCCAAACCCUAAAACUAAGAAAGACAUUUCUAAGUCACAAAAAUCUUUGACCAGCUAUGAUCCGGCCUAAAGGCCGAUCAACGAACCAAGUUACCCUAGGGAUAACAGCGCAAUCCCCUCCAAGAGUCCAUAUCGACGAGAGGGUUUACGACCUCGAUGUUGGAUCAGGACAUCCUAAUGGUGCAGCCGCUAUUAAGGGUUCGUUUGUUCAACGAUUAAAGUCCUACGUGAUCUGAGUUCAGACCGGAGCAAUCCAGGUCAGUUUCUAUCUGUAACGUUAUUUUUCCUAGUACGAAAGGACCGGAAAAAAGAGGCCUAUACCAAAAGCACGCCUCACCCUUAAUUAAUGAAGACAACUAAAUUAAAUAAAAGGAGAACCCAAAACACAAGCCAAAAUAAGGCCAC